rnacentral:rRNA from 1 species
UGGGGAAUAUUGGACAAUGGGCGAAAGCCUGAUCCAGCGACGCCGCGUGUGUGAAGAAGGCCUGCGGGUUGUAAAGCACUUUUAGUGGGGAUGAAAAGCCGAGGGCUAAUACCUUUCGGUCUUGACCUAACCCAAAGAAAAAGCACCGGCUAACUCUGUGCCAGCAGCCGCGGUAAUACAGAGGGUGCAAGCGUUAAUCGGAAUUACUGGGCGUAAAGCGUGCGUAGGCGGUCAUCUAAGUCGGGUGUGAAAUCCCCGGGCUCAACCUGGGAAUUGCAUUCGAUACUGGAUGGCUAGAGUUCGGCAGAGGGAAGCGGAAUUUCCGGUGUAGCGGUGAAAUGCGUAGAUAUCGGAAGGAACAUCAGUGGCGAAAGCGGCUUCCUGGACCAGAACUGACGCUCAGGCACGAAAGCGUGGGGAGCAAACAGG